ensembl:lncRNA LINC01378 long intergenic non-protein coding RNA 1378
GUUCUUGUCUGACUGUCUUAUUUCAGAAAGGCAGCCAUCAAGCUCUGAGAUUCUUUCCUCCACUUGGUCUAUUCUGCUACUAAUACUUCUCAGCCCAGUUCAGAACUCCUGUUGGAGAGAUGAUUCAGCUGUUUGCAGGAAAAAAGGCCCUCUGACUUUUCUCGAGUAUAAAGAAGAGGAUGAAGGCUUAAGCAGGAAACUUUGACAGCUCCAAAGACCUUAAUCCUUAUAAAGAAGUAAUGAAGUUUCAACUUUGCACUCAGGUUUUCAAGAAACCUUUGCAACUUUAACAUAGCAUUUUGAGGAGUAAAAGUGACACCUGGAAAAAGCCAUCCUUGAGAACUAACUCCCCACAAACUGAUCAGAUGUCACAACUGUGAUUUUUCUUCAGAGAGAGCAAAACUAUGGGUUAAGAUGUGUUUGGAAGGCAGAAAUCUGACCAAGAGUCUGUCAUGAGGAGCAGACAUACAGAAGAAUGAUUCACAAGAAGACCUCCUUUCUGUGCAUUGAACAUCUAUCCACAGAGCACAUCUUCAUUACUAGGGGAGAGCAUCCAUCAGCUGACAUGGUGGUGGCAGCAUGGUCACAACUGAGGUGCGGCUUCAGAAAGGAGAGCUUUUCAAUAGUUAGAUUAUUACAGGGCCCAACUAAAUGCCUCAAAUUCCCAGGAAUGUAGAUAAUAACAAUUAUGCCUCUUUCUCUCUUUUCCUCACAGACAAAAAGGUAACUUAUGUUGCAUAAUUAUAAAAAAUUCCAAAAUAAAAAUUUGAAAUAUACAGGACACUUCAAAUAAUACAUCUACAUGUUUUGAAUCAUCUUCCUAAAGCCCAAAUAUUGUUGUUGUGUACCCAGGCACAGUAGGGAGCUGAUCAUUACAAAUGACAGCAACAACAUUUUAAAAUUAUAAAUCUUAAGAAUAUUUAAAUAAAUGUAUAGCAACUAAUAAAAUUGAAAGCAAAAUGUAUACUAACUUAAUUUAUAUUUUAUUAGCAGAUAUUUGUCUUUUAAAACUGUUUAUUAGUAAAUUUAAAUUAUGUAAAAUUUUGCAUGUAUAUCUUAGGAUGGCAGAUAUAUCUUGAGGUCAUAUUAUUCCCCUUAUUUGCAGGUAGAGUCAAAUAUCCAUUUUUUUGUUGGCUUCUCAUCCUACUGACUUUGUAUUAACUUGACUUGUAUUCAUUAUUUAAAUUAAAAAUGAAAUGGAAAUUCCAUAAUGGGAAUUACCUCCCAUUGUUAGAUUUAAGUUUCAGUCAACAGAAUCUCUCAUUUUCAUCAAGAAAUUUUUUAAACGCGUGGGCACAAUAUUCCUAUUCUUUCUUUUAAAAACUCAACUCCUGCACUUCAGCUUAAGCAACAGAGUUAAGACCCUGUCUUAAAAAACAAAACAAAACAAAAUAAAACUCUACUCCAUCAUAAUUUUGUGAGUGAAUCUACAUCAGCUUAUAGCUUCAGAACAUAUAAUGUUUCUACCAUCAAGAUUAGCUAGACUGAAUUUGGCCAAUUCAGUGCAGCAUUCUCUGCUGAGUUUAAUUCAAUUAUGGAUAAGAAUUCAGUCAUAGUCUUGGAAAAAAUGACAAGAAAAUCUUCUGAUUUUGUAGGAUAAAAACAUGCUUUUGAAAAAUACAAACUAUAUUUUCUACCUCCUUCCUUUAUAGUUAACUCAGGCUCUACUUAAGUCCAUUAUGUUUUAUUUUUUGCCUGAUUAUUAUACUAACAAUUUUUUCUUUCAAAUAUUGCCCACAGAAUUAUUUCUGAAUUUAUUUCGAUGCUGAUAUGCCACAAAGAAGGAAUCACACUGAUUGUGCUGCAAAGUAAAAUAAAAAAGUGAGCAUAAAUGACCCUUUAUUGAGCUUUUAAUAUAGCCUAGUGCCCUUGCUCUGCUACACGUUUCUCUCCAAGCCAUGUGAGGAGUCCACUCUAUGUAAGAACACAUGGAGGUGAAUUAUAUGAAAUCAGGAGUUUAGACUAAGCAAGAGACAAAAUCAUGAGAAAUGGUUAAUUGCUCUUCUUUCUAAGUAAACAAAAAACAAUAAAUGUCAUCAAGGCUAUCUCUCUUUCCUUAAAGUUAUAUUUGUUAUUAGCAUACUUCUGAUAUAAACUGGUUUUCCUUUCAGAGAAGCGUAAUCAUUGGAGGAAAUGUUUGUCUUUGGGAAAAAAAAGAAAAAAACGGGAAGUUGUACUUCAGGAAAAAAUUAGUCCUCAGAAAAAGGGAACAAUAUGUCUGCAUUUUUGGCUAUUGUUUCAGCUUAUGUACAUGUUUCUGCUUACCUUCUUGAAAGAGAAACAAGUUAUUCAAUGUUACGUAUGAAUCAAAGAUCAGAUUACUCAGAAUCCUGAAAAAUAAAUUGUGACUGUACAUAUUCUUUAUCCAUUUUUAGUAAAUGCAUGUAUUUUUAUACAGUUAUGCAUCCUGAUCUGUUGCCAUUCAAUGUUGUUUUGUACAAUUUAUAGAUAUCACCACAGGUUUUGUGAGAUUGACAAGCAAUCUAAAAAUAAAUGAUUCACGGAUGAGUGUUCAA